UACGGGGGGGGCAAGCGUUGUUCGGAUUUACUGGGCGUAAAGGGCGCGUAGGCGGCAAUUCAAGUCAGCUGUGAAAUCUCCGAGCUUAACUCGGAACGGUCAGCUGAUACUGUUUUGCUAGAGUACAGAAGGGGCAAUCGGAAUUCUUGGUGUAGCGGUGAAAUGCGUAGAUAUCAAGAGGAACACCUGAGGUGAAGACGGGUUGCUGGGCUGAUACUGACGCUGAGGCGCGAAAGCUAGGGUAGCAAACGGG
rnacentral:rRNA from 1 species